UUGUUUGGAGAGUUUGAUCCUGGCUCAGGACGAACGCUGGCGGCGUGCUUAACACAUGCAAGUCGAACGGAAAGGCCCCUUCGGGGGUACUCGAGUGGCGAACGGGUGAGUAACACGUGGGUGAUCUGCCCUGCACUUUGGGAUAAGCCUGGGAAACUGGGUCUAAUACCGAAUAGGACCGCAUGCUUCAUGGUGUGUGGUG
rnacentral:rRNA from 1 species